CUUUCGGUAAAUGUUGCACUCCAGUAAUGAGAUUUUAAGAAUUACUCAGUCAUUGAACCAUGUGAAUUCAAUGGUUGGUAAACCGGGGACCUUAAGAAAUUACUGAGUUUUCUGCUACGUUGUCAUCAGCCAGUUGAUCAAGGACCCACAGAGACAGUCACCACUGCACAUGAUUCUUCAGUUUUUCCAAAGGUAAGGAAAAUGAACCUCAGAGCUUCGUCCAAGGUCUCACGCUCAGAGAGUUAUAGAACCAAAACUAGAAGCGAGGCCUUCUGAAGUAUUGUACUCCGUGGUCCGUUAUUCUUCGUCCCAGGAGACUAACAUCUGCAAGUUACCAAAGAGAAACCGAAGGGGAUAUAAGAUUGAGUGGAAGAGGACUGGGAAAAAGAGAACAACGAGGCGGCCUAAGGCUUACUGAUAAGAUGAGGUGCAAAAACCAGCUGCAGAAGUGCAUUUAGUGCCGCUACAUUAGGUGGAUGGACUCUAGGUGGAGGCGGGAACCUGCAGGAUAACAGGAGUCAGGUGCGGAGCCAGCAGGAGAAAGACGACCAAGCAGCUCCAUAGUCCAACACUGUGGUCCUUCCAACCAAGGCCAAAGUCAGGAGCCUAGAGCAACCAGGGCUGAGGGCUGGACUGAAUGGCAGAAAGUGAAUGUCUCCACAAGCAAAUAAAGCUGUGUGGCAUCAGGGACCCCUACACUGUCACUGUAAUGGAAGCAAUUUGCAUUUAGCUGAUUUUUCAGGGGUAACUCCCUUUAGUAACCAAAUCCACUGGGAUCAAACACUGCAAACCAUAAUGGAAAAAGGAAUCUAUGCACAUAUUAAUGAUUUUCAUGCAUGGAAUGUACAAUCAAAACGGGGUUUGAAACCCUCAUACCUUUGACCAUGAUCUGUGAAGAUCCCUGUGUGACAAAGAUCAAAAAAUGACAGAAACUAGAAGAAAAAGUUAUUUUAAGCCCACCCUGCAGCCAGAGGCAGGAUAACAGAAAUAAUCACUAACACUAUAUAGCACCUUCAUAUACCAAGGGCUUUUAAGCAUUUCACAUGUAUUGAUAUAUUUAAUCUUCACAACACUUUUAGGUAGAUGCAGCUAUUAUUUCUAUUUAAAAAUGAAAAAAAAUCCAUCUCAGAAAGGUUCUAUGACUUGCCCAAGGUCCUCAGCUAGUUAGUGGCAGAGCCAGGAUUCAAACCCAGGCAGUCUGCUUUGAGGCCACACCUUUCGCCACCCCAUCAUAUGGUACAAUGGGAUGUCUUGUCCGGUGUGCCUAGACAGUGCAGAGUACCGGCUCAAGGAUGACCUUACCCAAUUCUAACAGGUGCACUCGUUCAAUAAAA